UACGUAGGGACCAAGCGUUGUCCGGAAUCACUGGGCUUAAAGCGCGUGUAGGCGGGCCGCCCCGUCGGCUGCUGAAAUCCCCCGGCUCAACCGGGGAAGGGGCACCGAUACGAGCGGCCUCGAGGGGGGUAGGGGGGUCUGGAACUUCCGGUGGAGCGGUGAAAUGCGUUGAGAUCGGAAGGAACGCCCGUGGCGAAAGCGGCAUCCUGGACCGGCAUUGACGCUGAGGAGCGAAAGCUAGGGGAGCAAACGGG
rnacentral:rRNA from 1 species